AGGUUACUGCUAUCGGUGUUCGCCUAAGCCAUGCGAGUCAUAUGUUCGUAAGAACAUGGCGUACUGCUCAGUAACACGUGGAUAACCUGCCCUUGGGUCCGGCAUAACCCCGGGAAACUGGGGAUAAUUCCGGAUAACGCACAUAUGCUGGAAUGCUUUUUGCGUAAAAUGGAUUCGUCUGCCCAAGGAUGGGUCUGCGGCCUAUCAGGUAGUAGUGGGUGUAAUGUACCUACUAGCCUACGACGGGUACGGGUUGUGAGAGCAAGAGCCCGGAGAUGGAUUCUGAGACAUGAAACCAGGCCCUACGGGGCGCAGCAGGCGCGAAAACUUUACAAUGCGGGAAACCGUGAUAAGGGGACACCGAGUGCCAGCAUCAUAUGUUGGCUGUCCGGGUGUGUAGAAUACACCUGUUAGCAAGGGCCGGGCAAGACCGGUGCCAGCCGCCGCGGUAACACCGGCGGCCCGAGUGGUGAUCGUGAUUAUUGGGUCUAAAGGGUCCGUAGCCGGUUUGGUCAGUCCUCCGGGAAAUCUGACGGCUUAACCGUUAGGCUUUCGGGGGAUACUGCCAGACUUGGAACCGGGAGAGGUAAGAGGUACUACAGGGGUAGGAGUGAAAUCUUGUAAUCCCUGUGGGACCACCUGUGGCGAAGGCGUCUUACCAGAACGGGUUCGACGGUGAGGGACGAAAGCUGGGGGCACGAACCGGAUUAGAUACCCGGGUAGUCCCAGCCGUAAACGAUGCUCGCUAGGUGUCAGGCAUGGCGCGACCGUGUCUGGUGCCGCAGGGAAGCCGUGAAGCGAGCCACCUGGGAAGUACGGCCGCAAGGCUGAAACUUAA
rnacentral:rRNA from 1 species